UCUUCUUCUUCUUCUUCCUGGUUUAUUGUGUGCGGCAGCCACAGCUCCUCCUCAGCCGGAGAGAACGACGCCUCGUUGGGCCACUCGGGUUUUUCCACGCGUGCCUGUUGCUCUCCGUGGAGGACGCGCGCGCGAGGAGGAGACUCGCAGCUGACAAGCAACGAGCACAUGGCGCGUUAUUAUGAUCCGCCAACGAAGAGAGAGAAAACCGGCCCUGAAGCCAUCGCUAAUGGAGAAUAGUUUCCCGAGGAGAAUCCGCUGAGAGCCCGGCGGCGAGUGUGACGGGGCGGCGUGAAAAGCAGCCCUCGCUAACCGCGCUGCCUGAAGCCGCGGCGGCCAUGUUCUCCAAAUCCUGUGUGUGAGCUGGAAGCCCCCGCUAGGAUCGCAGUGCCCUCCAAAACCAACAGAGAGGGGGUUUUAUAUCAGAGUAAAAGUAAGAAAAGUUUAACCCCCACCUUUUCUUUUCUCUCUCUCUCUCUCUUUCAAAUCACAGCAGUUUUUAAAGCAGAAAUCCAACCAAAAAAGGUUCCUCAGUAACAGUCACACUUUACACAUCUCCUUCCUCCUUUU